rnacentral:rRNA from 1 species
CCGCCGGCGACCGGCGCACGGGUGAGUAACACGUAUGCAACCUGGCCGUGACAGAUGGAUAACCGGGAGAAAUCCCGCCUAAUACAGCAUGACGCCGGGAAGGGACAUCCCUUUCCGGCCAAAGGGGGCGACUCCGGUCACGGAUGGGCAUGCGGCGCAUUAGGUAGUUGGUGGGGCAACGGCCCACCAAGCCGACGAUGCGUAGGGGUUCUGAGAGGAAGGUCCCCCAUAUUGGAACUGAGACACGGUCCAAACUCCUACGGAAGGCAGCAG